UACGUAGGGGGCAAGCGUUAUCCGGAUUUACUGGGUGUAAAGGGUGCGUAGGUGGCAGGGCAAGUCAGAUGUGAAAGCCCGGGGCCCAACCCCGGUACUGCAUUUGAAACUGUCCAGCUGGAGUGCAGGAGAGGUAAGCGGAAUUCCUAGUGUAGCGGUGAAAUGCGUAGAUAUUAGGAGGAACACCAGUGGCGAAGGCGGCUUACUGGACAGUAACUGACACUGAGGAGCGAAAGCGUGGGUAGCAAACAGG
rnacentral:rRNA from 1 species